UACGGAGGGUGCAAGCGUUAUCCGGAUUCACUGGGUUUAAAGGGUGCGUAGGUGGGUCUGAAAGUCAGUGGUGAAAUCUCCGGGCUUAACCUGGAAAUUGCCAUUGAUACUAUCAGUCUUGAAUAUCGUGGAGGUAAGCGGAAUAUGUCAUGUAGCGGUGAAAUGCUUAGAUAUGACAUAGAACACCAAUUGCGAAGGCAGCUUACUACCCGAAUAUUGACACUGAGGCACGAAAGCGUGGGGAUCAAACAGG
rnacentral:rRNA from 1 species